rnacentral:rRNA from 1 species
AUUGAACGCUGGCGGCAGGCCUAACACAUGCAAGUCGAGCGAAGCCUUCGGGCUUAGCGGCGGACGGGUGAGUAACGCGUGGGAACGUGCCCUUUGGUACGGAAUAGCCCCGGGAAACUGGGAGUAAUACCGUAUGUGGUCGAGAGACGAAAGAUUUAUCGCCAAAGGAUCGGCCCGCGUUGGAUUAGGUAGUUGGUGGGGUAAUGGCCUACCAAGCCGACGAUCCAUAGCUGGUUUGAGAGGAUGAUCAGCCACACUGGGACUGAGACACGGCCCAGACUCCUACGGGAGGCAGCAGUGGGGAAUCUUAGACAAUGGGGGAAACCCUGAUCUAGCCAUGCCGCGUGAUCGAUGAAGGCCUUAGGGUUGUAAAGAUCUUUCAGUGGGGAAGAUAAUGACUGUACCCACAGAAGAAGCCCCGGCUAACUCCGUGCCAGCCGCCGCGGUAAAAC